UGUAUUUGUGAUUUAAAGGGAGAUGUAUAGGUAGGGAAGGAUGCUGCCAGUUGAAACUGAAUUUAAAGAGUUAUUUGCUCUGUGAGUACAGUAUGUGAGCUGGCAUGAUCCACUGUGAGUGUCCUAGUGCUCUGUCUGUUAUUCACACAUACAGUGAGAUGAACUCUGCAGAGGGGAGGCAACAAACCAGGCCUAAAGAGAUAGAUAGAGAGAGAGAGAGAAAUCAUGCCUCAUCUAUUCUUCAUGACAUUACAUAAGCAUUUCCGAUUGCUGCCUUUUUAAAAUGUUUUAUUCACUCCACACUGGAGUGACUAAGUGGCUGUAGUCAGUGAUCGUGACCGGUUUUCUGGCCUGUUAUUUUUAGGAUUGCAUACACGGGUAAUAUUGAAUACCUUCCAGUUACUACCAAUGCACUUAUUCAGUGCUAGUGGACCACAGUGGUUAGUGACAGUUUCUCAUUGAAUGUCUGUUACUUCCCUUAAUCAGUAGACCAUUAAUCGUGUGGAUUGAUUGAUCAAGACAGUAAGUAAGAAAGAAAUACACAUGAAAUAUGCAUUUUUGUCAAAUCUACAUUACAGUUGUAUAAAUUACAAAAUGACCUUCACAAACAAGUAACUUUUAUCAAAUAGCAUCUGAGAAAAAUUGUGUGAGGAAAAGUGCCUUUUAUCUUUUCUUAAGCCAAGUGAAGCAACAAAAAAACAACAGCCAUAAAACAUUGUACUCCUCCAAUGGUUGAAUCUCAGGAGAAUCAAGCUAGCAUCAUGUAGUCAUCCAAAGGUUGAAUCUCAGGAGAAUCAAGCUAGCAUCAUGUAGUCAUCCAAAGGUUGAAUCUCAGGAGAAUCAAGCUAGCAUCAUGUAGUCAUCCAAAGGUU
ensembl:lncRNA